GCUAAUUUUGUAUUUUUGGUAGAGAUGGGCUUUCACCAUGUUGGCCAGGCUUGUCUUGAACUCCUGGUCUCAAGUGAUCUGCCCACCUUGGCCUCUCAAAAUGGUGGGAUUACAGGUGUGAGCCACAGUGCCUGGCCAUGUCUGUUUCAUAAAUUGUCUGUUUCUAUGUUAGACAGUGGCCCUGUUUAUUUUGCUCAAUGCCUAUCACCUUAAAUCCU
rnacentral:lncRNA from 10 species